AUAAUGGGUCAGCGACUUAUAUUCUGUAGCAAGGUUAACCGAAUAGGGGAGCCGAAGGGAAACCGAGUCUUAACUGGGCGUUAAGUUGCAGGGUAUAGACCCGAAACCCGGUGAUCUAGCCAUGGGCAGGUUGAAGGUUGGGUAACACUAACUGGAGGACCGAACCGACUAAUGUUGAAAAAUUAGCGGAUGACUUGUGGCUGGGGGUGAAAGGCCAAUCAAACCGGGAGAUAGCUGGUUCUCCCCGAAAGCUAUUUAGGUAGCGCCUCGUGAAUUCAUCUCCGGGGGUAGAGCACUGUUUCGGCAAGGGGGUCAUCCCGACUUACCAACCCGAUGCAAACUGCGAAUACCGGAGAAUGUUAUCACGGGAGACACACGGCGGGUGCUAACGUCCGUCGUGAAGAGGGAAACAACCCAGACCGCCAGCUAAGGUCCCAAAGUCAUGGUUAAGUGGGAAACGAUGUGGGAAGGCCCAGACAGCCAGGAUGUUGGCUUAGAAGCAGCCAUCAUUUAAAGAAAGCGUAAUAGCUCACUGGUCGAGUCGGCCUGCGCGGAAGAUGUAACGGGGCUAAACCAUGCACCGAAGCUGCGGCAGCGACGCUGAUGCGUUGUUGGGUAGGGGAGCGUUCUGUAAGCCUGUGAAGGUGUGCUGUGAGGCAUGCUGGAGGUAUCAGAAGUGCGAAUGCUGACAUAAGUAACGAUAAAGCGGGUGAAAAGCCCGCUCGCCGGAAGACCAAGGGUUCCUGUCCAACGUUAAUCGGGGCAGGGUGAGUCGACCCCUAAGGCGAGGCCGAAAGGCGUAGUCGAUGGGAAACAGGUUAAUAUUCCUGUACUUGGUGUUACUGCGAAGGGGGGACGGAGAAGGCUAUGUUGGCCGGGCGACGGUUGUCCCGGUUUAAGCGUGUAGGCUGGUUUUCCAGGCAAAUCCGGAAAAUCAAGGCUGAGGCGUGAUGACGAGGCACUACGGUGCUGAAGCAACAAAUGCCCUGCUUCCAGGAAAAGCCUCUAAGCAUCAGGUAACAUCAAAUCGUACCCCAAACCGACACAGGUGGUCAGGUAGAGAAUACCAAGGCGCUUGAGAGAACUCGGGUGAAGGAACUAGGCAAAAUGGUGCCGUAACUUCGGGAGAAGGCACGCUGAUAUGUAGGUGAAGUCCCUCGCGGAUGGAGCUGAAAUCAGUCGAAGAUACCAGCUGGCUGCAACUGUUUAUUAAAAACACAGCACUGUGCAAACACGAAAGUGGACGUAUACGGUGUGACGCCUGCCCGGUGCCGGAAGGUUAAUUGAUGGGGUCAGCGCAAGCGAAGCUCUUGAUCGAAGCCCCGGUAAACGGCGGCCGUAACUAUAACGGUCCUAAGGUAGCGAAAUUCCUUGUCGGGUAAGUUCCGACCUGCACGAAUGGCGUAAUGAUGGCCAGGCUGUCUCCACCCGAGACUCAGUGAAAUUGAACUCGCUGUGAAGAUGCAGUGUACCCGCGGCAAGACGGAAAGACCCCGUGAACCUUUACUAUAGCUUGACACUGAACAUUGAGCCUUGAUGUGUAGGAUAGGUGGGAGGCUUUGAAGUGUGGACGCCAGUCUGCAUGGAGCCGGCCUUGAAAUACCACCCUUUAAUGUUUGAUGUUCUAACGUUGACCCGUGAUCCGGGUUGCGGACAGUGUCUGGUGGGUAGUUUGACUGGGGCGGUCUCCUCCUAAAGAGUAACGGAGGAGCACGAAGGUUGGCUAAUCCUGGUCGGACAUCAGGAGGUUAGUGCAAUGGCAUAAGCCAGCUUGACUGCGAGCGUGACGGCGCGAGCAGGUGCGAAAGCAGGUCAUAGUGAUCCGGUGGUUCUGAAUGGAAGGGCCAUCGCUCAACGGAUAAAAGGUACUCCGGGGAUAACAGGCUGAUACCGCCCAAGAGUUCAUAUCGACGGCGGUGUUUGGCACCUCGAUGUCGGCUCAUCACAUCCUGGGGCUGAAGUAGGUCCCAAGGGUAUGGCUGUUCGCCAUUUAAAGUGGUACGCGAGCUGGGUUUAGAACGUCGUGAGACAGUUCGGUCCCUAUCUGCCGUGGGCGCUGGAGAACUGA
rnacentral:rRNA from 1 species